rnacentral:rRNA from 1 species
AUUGAACGCUGGCGGCAUGCCUUACACAUGCAAGUCGAACGGCAGCGGGGGAAAGCUUGCUUUCCUGCCGGCGAGUGGCGAACGGGUGAGUAAUACAUCGGAACGUGCCCUGUAGUGGGGGAUAACUAGUCGAAAGAUUAGCUAAUACCGCAUACGACCUGAGGGUGAAAGUGGGGGACCGCAAGGCCUCAUGCUAUAGGAGCGGCCGAUGUCUGAUUAGCUAGUUGGUGGGGUAAAGGCCUACCAAGGCGACGAUCAGUAGCUGGUCUGAGAGGACGAUCAGCCACACUGGGACUGAGACACGGCCCAGACUCCUACGGGAGGCAGCAGUGGGGAAUUUUGGACAAUGGGCGAAAGCCUGAUCCAGCAAUGCCGCGUGUGUGAAGAAGGCCUUCGGGUUGUAAAGCACUUUUGUCCGGAAAGAAAUGGCUCUGGUUAAUACCCGGAGUUGAUGACGGUACCGGAAGAAUAAGGACCGGCUAACUACGUGCCAGCAGCCGCGGUAAUACGUAGGGUCCAAGCGUUAAUCGGAAUUACUGGGCGUAAAGCGUGCGCAGGCGGUUGUGCAAGACCGAUGUGAAAUCCCCGGGCUUAACCUGGGAAUUGCAUUGGUGACUGCACGGCUAGAGUGUGUCAGAGGGAGGUAGAAUUCCACGUGUAGCAGUGAAAUGCGUAGAGAUGUGGAGGAAUACCGAUGGCGAAGGCAGCCUCCUGGGAUAACACUGACGCUCAUGCACGAAAGCGUGGGGAGCAAACAGG